AAGCCUUCCAUGUCCAGUGGGAACGGAAGGGCGCCGUCCUUCCCGCCCUCCUCCACGUACCUUUAUCUUGUAACGUCCCUUGCCCAGGUUAACCAGAUCCUCCGUGCUCAGACUGUCCCCAUCUAGGGCAAUGUACUGCACAAGAGGGGCUCCCGGUAUUUGCUGUAUCUAAAGCCAGGUAAAGGAACAUACUAGCAGUAUGGAAAAACCCCAGCCCCACCGUGUCAGGCCCAGGCCCCCAGCGCUGACCAAAGAAGAUGCAGAAAGGAUACAGGAAAACUCCUUCUGGCUGUGAUGGAAUGAAAUCAGGAGACAUUACAUCGCCUUCAAUCACUGAAACAAGAAGAGGGGAAAGGGGCCCCGCAGGUGUCAGACCCAGGAACCGCCCCUCCAUGCACUGAGCUUGCAUUUCAUGGCAACGGCUGCUGGACCAUGAUGUGACUUCCUACCUUGUCACAGUCUUAGCAGCUUUACACAGGAAAAAGCAAAGAGCAGAAAGGUAGCUGAGGGAUGUAAGUGGAAGAUUGGUUCUAGCCAGCUUCCAUUUCCACUCUGGCAGUCACUUACAGAAGGAUUCUGUAAUGGCAAGGGACUCUAAUCUGUAGCCUUGGGUUCAAGUCCAGAUUGUCACUGUGGCCUGACUCUCUCCAUCUAUUAUUGCAGGCUGGGGAAAAGCCGGAUGAUAAAGCUUAGCUCGAGGCUCCCUUAGGACAAGUACUCAAGCCUGUUUUUCUCCUCAUGUUCCCUGACAUGAGGGUAACUUUCCUCAGGAAGUGCCAAGGCGGUUCACUCUAUUCCCCGAAGGGCUACUCACCCACUUCUACGAACUCAUUGUCCUCUAAGGCCACCUCCAGCAGGUCCUCAUUGUCUAGCAGGCCCAGGCCCUUGCACCGGCGCACAAGGAAUCGCACUUCAUCCACUGAGGUGAAGCCACCGUUGUCUGGUUUAUUCUUCAUGUAGCGCCGCACAGCCUCACGGCCCAGCCAGCCAACAGUGAGCUUCCCAUCCUGGCAGGGGACCGCCAGCCAUUCCCCUCGCACAUGCACGGUGUACCUAGGCAUGGCUCAGCUACUACAGCACUUCUGAGCAACAGGCCACUGUAACCAAGGGCUGGCUCCUUUCCUACAGUUCUCGAUGGGGAGAGCCUUUAUCCUUUACCAGGGAGGGGAGUGUCUGCUGGGGUGUGGUUGGCAGGAAGACUGAGAAUGGACUUCCAGAACACUCCCCUUCCCUUGCCUUCAGCCAUUCACACUUUGAACAAAUAUUGAUUGCUUUGCUGGUAUUCCUUUGGCCUUUCUGGAUGCUGAACUAGGCACAGGAGAGAGGGAUAUGGGUAGCUGAGCCCACUUUCAAUGUAGCCUUGUAGGCAGAAAGACCGAGGGUCUCUGACCCUGGAAGUCCUCCUGACCAAGGUUCCCAAUUCUCUCUCCCUUUCUGAGUCUGCCUUGAAAGCUGCUUCUAAACACCAUGUUCCCCUCUUUAGGGAAUUACUCAAUUGGUAAAACGCAUCCUAUCGGUCAAUUGUGACACCCAGAGUGUGGCAAUCCUCAUUCAUUUAUUUAUUCCACAAACAUGCGUUGAGCAACACCUCCCUGACAGUGCCUGGUGCUUCUGAAGCCAUUGCACCACCAAAGAAAGCAGAGAUGGAUUUUCACAACUAGAACAGUUGUGGCUAGACACAGGUAUGACUGUAGCUUGGAGGCCCUCAGCUUACUGCCCUGGGGAAGCUCAACAUUCUGUAUGUGGAAGAGUGCCAAGAAAUGCUGACCAUGUCAACUUUAAAGAUAUAUCUCAGAGAGCAACAUCAACAUUUGUUGCAAUGGUCAAG